GCCGGCAUAGCUCAGCUGGUAGAGCAGCUGAUUUGUAAUUAGAAAACGGGUGUUUACCGGCA
rnacentral:tRNA from 1 species